UACGAAGGGUGCUAGCGUUGUUCGGAAUUACUGGGCGUAAAGCGUGCGUAGGUGGCUUAACAAGUCAGGGGUGAAAUCCUGGGGCUCAACCCCAGAACUGCCUUUGAAACUGUUAAGCUAGAGUCUUGGAGGGGAUAGCGGAAUUCCUAAUGUAGAGGUGAAAUUCGUAGAUAUUAGGAGGAACACCGGUGGCGAAGGCGGCUAUCUGGACAAGCACUGACACUCUGGCACGAAAGCGCGGGGAUCAAACAGG
rnacentral:rRNA from 1 species